rnacentral:rRNA from 1 species
AUUGAACGCUGGCGGCAUGCCUUACACAUGCAAGUCGAACGGUAACAGGUCUUCGGAUGCUGCCGAGUGGCGCACGGGUGAGUAAUACAUCGGAACGUGCCCGAUCGUGGGGGAUAACGAAGCGAAAGCUUUGCUAAUACCGCAUACGAUCUACGGAUGAAAGCGGGGGAUCUUCGGACCUCGCGCGGACGGAGCGGCCGAUGGCAGAUUAGGUAGUUGGUGGGAUAAAAGCUUACCAAGCCGACGAUCUGUAGCUGGUCUGAGAGGAUGAUCAGCCACACUGGGACUGAGACACGGCCCAGACUCCUACGGGAGGCAGCAGUGGGGAAUUUUGGACAAUGGGCGCAAGCCUGAUCCAGCCAUGCCGCGUGCAGGAUGAAGGCCUUCGGGUUGUAAACUGCUUUUGUACGGAACGAAAAGGUGCCUUCUAAUAAAGGGCGCUCAUGACGGUACCGUAAGAAUAAGCACCGGCUAACUACGUG